rnacentral:tRNA from 1 species
CUCUGGAUAGCUCAGUUGGUUAGAGCGUGGUGCUGAUAACGCCAAGGUCACAGGUUCAAUCCCCAUACGGGACA